rnacentral:rRNA from 1 species
AGCGUGCGGGAUGACGGCCUUCGGGUUGUAAACCGCUUUCAGCAGGGAAGAAGCGAAAGUGACGGUACCUGCAGAAGAAGUACCGGCUAACUACGUGCCAGCAGCCGCGGUAAUACGUAGGGUACGAGCGUUGUCCGGAAUUAUUGGGCGUAAAGAGCUCGUAGGUGGUUGGUCACGUCUGCUGUGGAAACGCAACGCUUAACGUUGCGCGUGCAGUGGGUACGGGCUGACUAGAGUGCAGUAGGGGAGUCUGGAAUUCCUGGUGUAGCGGUGAAAUGCGCAGAUAUCAGGAGGAACACCGGUGGCGAAGGCGGGACUCUGGGCUGUAACUGACACUGAGGAGCGAAAGCAUGGGGAGCGAACAGGAUUAGAUACCCUGGUAGUCCAUGCCGUAAACGUUGGGCACUAGGUGUGGGGGACAUUCCACGUUCUCCGCGCCGUAGCUAACGCAUUAAGUGCCCCGCCUGGGGAGUACGGUCGCAAGGCUAAAACUCAAAGGAAUUGACGGGGGCCCGCACAAGCGGCGGAGCAUGCGGAUUAAUUCGAUGCAACGCGAAGAACCUUACCAAGGCUUGACAUACACUGGACCGUUCUGGAAACAGUUCUUCUCUUUGGAGCUGGUGUACAGGUGGUGCAUGGUUGUCGUCAGCUCGUGUCGUGAGAUGUUGGGUUAAGUCCCGCAACGAGCGCAACCC